rnacentral:lncRNA from 1 species
CUAACGAAAUGAAGACGGAAGGAAGGCAAAACAGGAUCUGAGCCCUGUUUUCCCCAGGGACACACACAGAGGGACACGCUGGAAUGGCCCUUUAUUGCUCCCUGGUGGGAUCCAGGGUCUCUUGGUGGCUUCAGUAGGUGCUGAAGAUGGCCUGGAUGUGCUCCCCGGAGUGUGGUUUGUUUCCCAGAGCUGAGGAACUGCCAGUAUGUCCUGUCAUUGUCACUGCCAGCCAGCCCGUGGAUGGAGACCACAAAGGGACCCCAGGAUGUCUGCUCUGUCUUGAAGCUGCCGGGGAGGUGAGUGGGCUCAGGGCUGGAUGGGGAGAUGCCAACCCCCCCCCCCUCUGGCUCCUCUGGCUCUCACCUAAAGUUUUCGGGAUCCAUCUCCUCCGCCCUCUCCAGCACCUCGAGCAGUGUGGAGACCCCUGGGACCGUCACCGAGAUGCUGUAGUGCCAGGGGAUUCCCUGGAGGUUGUUGGUGAUGGAGUAGUGCACUGUGAUGUCCUGGGACUCCCGUGGGGUCUGGGAGGCUCCAGGUGGGCUCAUUAUACCUGUGGGAACCCUGUGUGUCCCCAGGCUUGGGCACAGAUCCAUGGGGGCACCGCAGUUCAGCGUGGCCGCAUCCAGGUAGGACAUGCCUACGAGGGCUGGGAGCACCUGGGCGAUGGCCAUGGGCAGCUCGAAGGUGUGGUUGGUCACCACAGCAAAGGCCUGGGCACAAUCCCAGUCCUGAGGGGCGUAAAAGUCCCUUGAGGCCUCCAGUGCCUGCGGAAGAGGUGGGAGGUGGUGUGGCCAAUCUGGGAACGGGACCAGGUGGCUGUGACGGCACAUUCCCCACCCCCGUACCUGCAGGGCCAGCCCCAUGCUAUAGAUGUUCCCAAUCAUGCCUUUCCUCUCCUCCUGCUCAUCCAGGAAGUUGUUGGUCACCGUCCAAACUGCCUCGUGGAGCAGAUCCUGCACCUCCGGGUCCUCCACGUUGUCGUGGGCGCACACCAAGGCCAGCACCGCCACGGCACGAGUGUCUGUGGGUCCCGGGGUCACUGCCAAGCCCCGGAGAGACCUCCGGAGCAGGAAUGUGGGAGCAGAGGGAUCUCUUACCCACACUGAUGGGGCUGUUGGGGCUCAGCACCUCCUUGGCCAAGGCCACCGCUGGCCCCCGGUACCUGUCUGCCCUGACCAGGCACAGGGCCAUGGUGUCCAGGCUCACGCUGAACAGGGUGGUUUUGGGAUGACCCUUGUCCUCUGGAAAACAGAGCAGUGAGAUGAUGGGAUGCAGGGAGGUGGACACCCCCCAGGGCCCAGCGUACCCAGCUCGACCAUCUCCUCAUCUGUUUUCUGCUGCAGGAUGGAGAUCAGGUCGAUGGUCUGUCCCAGGGCGUGGACCUGCCGGGGGUCCUGGCAGGACGAGAGGAGGGCGAGGACGUGCUCAGCCACCUGUCCUGAGGUCAUGGCUGUGGGGACAAGAGGACACCGGGAGCACGGUGGGAUGGGACCUGUCCCCCUGGGAGCUGGCAGUGCCAAACCUGCGGAAUCUGAUCCCCCAGGACCAGGGGCCCUCCCUCAUUCCCUUCCCUACCUUUCUGGGCUCUCGUCACCACCUCCUCCUUGAUCUCCUGGAGCAGCAACUUGUAGUUGGGACUCUGGG